rfam:Metarhizium majus ARSEF 297 Scaffold_210, whole genome shotgun sequence.
GUAAAGGUCGGGCGAGUUCACAUUUCGGACGCGGUGUCCCGUCAGAUCUCCCACGAUAACCUAGCGAGCGCCGGAUUAGUAGUUGGGUCGGUGACGACCAGCGAAUACCUGGUGUUGUAUGUU